rnacentral:lncRNA from 1 species
ACUUAUUCAACAAAUUUCUUUCAAAAUAAAUCUAUAGAAGAAGAUUCAAACAUAGGAAAAGACUAUCACAUGAGCUUAUAUAUUAGGAUCAUACAAUUAAUCAUAAUCUAAACCACUAAAAUACCCAAAAAUACUACAAUGCUUUCUCCUAAUAAUAAUACUCCUUCAUCAACUGAUAACAACAAUGUGCAAUCCUGCACUCUCAAAAGACCGCUCAAAAUACAUAAAUUCCAUCUAAUAUCAGAAAUAACAGACUUCACUUCAAGCAAUCUGGAUUCAGAUGCUUUCUAUAACCACAUACUUCCUUUGUCAAAACACAUACAACUUUCAAUAAACAACAAUCAUAAUCUUUCAUUCAUAAUCAAUCUUCCAAUAACUUCUCAUAUAAUUCAAUCACACAGUACUCCAAUUACAUAAUCAAUAACUCAUAAAUCAAUCUUUGAUUUAUUCCACAGAUUCACUUCUCAGUAUUCAAAAACUAUCCAUUAC